GAUGAACGCUGGCGGCGUGCCUAAUACAUGCCAGUCGAGCGAACAGAUGAGGAGCUUGCUCCUCUGACGUUAGCGGCGGACGGGUGAGUAACACGUGGAUAACCUACCUAUAAGACUGGGAUAACUUCGGGAAACCGGAGCUAAUACCGGAUAAUAUAUUGAACCGCAUGGUUCAAUAGUGAAAGACGGUUUUGCUGUCACUUAUAGAUGGAUCCGCGCCGCAUUAGCUAGUUGGUAAGGUAACGGCUUACCAAGGCAACGAUGCGUAGCCGACCUGAGAGGGUGAUCGGCCACACUGGAACUGAGGCACGGUGCAGACUCCUACGGGAGGCAGCAGUAGGGAAUCUUCCGCAAUGGGCGGAAGCCUGACGGAGCAACGCCGCGUGAGUGAUGAAGGUCUUCGGAUCGUAAAACUCUGUUAUUAGGGAAGAACAAAUGUGUAAGUAACUAUGCACGUCUUGACGGUACCUAAUCAGAAAGCCACGGCUAACUACGUG
rnacentral:rRNA from 1 species